rnacentral:rRNA from 1 species
CGAACAAAGUACCGUGAGGGAAAGUUGAAAAGAACUUUGAAGAGAGAGUUCAAUAGUUCGUGAAACUGUUCAGGUGUAAGCUCGAGUAAGCCGAUGUAUUCGAAAAGAGGAAGUCAGCGUCGUGGCAAUUCUAAUUACUGGCAAGGUAGUUUUGAACUGUUAGCGUGCAUUUUCUUCUUAGUAGAACGCCGUACCGGCUACCGGCUUGCUUAAACUCCUACGUUUAGUUCGCGAAUAGUAGCAAUACUUUUGCGAGACGAAGGUGCUUUUAUAAUGCCGGUGGCCGAGACGUAUUGAAAACGAUGGAACCAACUCUUUGCGUGUACUCGUAAAGCGGACCUUCGUUCUUACGGCGCUGAUGUUUCGGCAAACUUGAGACCCGUCUUGAAACACGGACCAAGGAGUCUAGCAUGUAACCAAGUUUUUCGGCGUAAAACCCGAAGAGCGUAGUGAAAGCGUUUGCCGCGUCGUUUCGCACGGCGUGUUUUAUUGCAUUUGCAGAGAUGAUGGUAGCUUUAAUCGGCUGCCCGCAAUCUCGGGAUGGUCUCGUUUUCGAUUCGUCGAAUGAGCCAUACUCGUAGG